AGAAAAGGUUAGAAAAAUAUACAAAAACCAGUUUAAUACAUGUUUUUUUGGCUGGACAAACUUUGUGCAUUAAAAAAAUAACUCGGUUUGAGUAAAAUAUGCUACUGUACAUACAUACACAUGUCCAUUACACUUUGGUAAAAUGAUUAGAUGCUACCACCAAUGGACAAUUUGAAACCCUAUGUUUUCUCUUCACCACACAUCCUCUCCCCAUCUUCUCGAGUGGUACGGUGUCCGCUCAACUUGGCACCGUAAAUGAACAAAGUAUAAAAUUUGUCUCUGCUGCAGUUAGAUGAACAAACGAUUAGAGUUGGCUCCAAAUGACCAUGUUCUGAUUGGUAUGGUUCACUCUGGUUUGGUUCUGACCCUUGGUACUUUUCUCUGCUAUUGUAACACAGGAACAGGAGCGCAGAGACAAACUUGUAUUAUUAUGGUUCCACAACAAGGGGGAACCCAUCCAGCAUUACUACAAGGCAAUAGUAGAACAAGGAUUAUUUACCAACAAUCGCGGCAACACAGCAGGGAAGUUGAAGAACCGCUGCUAGCUCCGAACCGAGGAGUCGAGGAUAUCACCACACAGGACUAGAUAGUGGAGUGCAAGUGAAUCAACCUUUCUCUUCAAAAAAUUAACAAUCCAAACUUCAGAAAAUCAACAAACUAAACUUCGGAAAGCAAAACAAAUUGAACUUCACAGGGCCCUGCAAAAUAUACACGGUUAUAGUCCAAUUUAAAAACUUCAAAAAAUCAACAAACUGAACUUCUAGAGGGCCAGAUGCUGACCUUUCUAUUCGCAACGUUGUUGCUGACCCGUAAUUGAAGGUAGAGGAUGACGGCCAGCACCUGGACGGGUUCUAGCGGCCGGUGUAGGCCAUCGAUGGAGGAGGGGCGAGCUAAUCUUUCUAAAAAAAACAAGGACAACAACAUCAACUAAUCUCUCUCACACACUCAAGCUGAACUACAGCAGCACCAUCGAGAGCAAAAUGAGUAGGUGAGAACUCAUCUAUAUGCACACAUGAGUAUAUUCUUUGAUGUACCUGAAUGUUCGCAGCUGUUUUACAUGAACUUCUUGUGUUAUGCUGGACAGAGCACUGAGCAUGAGAGGGUGUCUUCGUGCU
rnacentral:lncRNA from 1 species